UACAGAGGGUGCGAGCGUUAAUCGGAAUUACUGGGCGUAAAGCGUGCGUAGACGGCUAUCUAAGUCGGGUGUGAAAGCCCCGGGCUCAACCUGGGAAUUGCAUUCGAGACUGAAUAGCUAGGGUGCGGUAGAGGGAAGCGGAAUUUCCGGUGUAGCGGUGAAAUGCGCAGAUAUCGGAAGGAACAUCAGUGGCGAAAGCGGCUUCCUGGACCAGCACCGACGUUCAGGCACGAAAGCGUGGGGAGCAAACAGG
rnacentral:rRNA from 1 species